AAUCUGACUCAGUUGGCAUCACUAAAUUUUUGUUGAAUGAAUGAAAGAAAUAUCCAAACUCACCUGGAUUGAAGAAUAAAUGAGGGAAACUUCCAACUUCCUCUCCCUCUGGCUUCACAACUACAGAGACCACCUUCCAUACCCUUAGACUCAAGUUUUCUGUUUAACAACCUGCUUCUGUUAUCACAGGAAAAGAUGCUCCUUUAAGUCAUCAUUCCUUGGAUCCAAGGUUGCUACACAUACAUUUCUUCUAGAAACUCAGAAAAAAAGAGAAGAGAGUGGAGAACAUGAGGAGGCCUCAGAAAAAAGAAGAGUGGAGAACAUGAGGAGGCCUCAAGUUCAAUGUGAAAAUGCAGUCAGGAAAAGGAUUCUCUAGCAGCCUCCUCUUUGUCAUCCCCAACUCUUCAUAAUAAGCCACCCAUCCAUGGUAACAAGUUUUUCUUUCAAAUGCUCUUAUUGAA
rnacentral:lncRNA from 1 species